UACGUAGGGUGCGAGCGUUUGUCCGGAAUUAUUGGGCGUAAAGAGCUUGUAGGUGGUUUGUCGCGUCUGCUGUGAAAAUCCGAGGCUCAACCUCGGACUUGCAGUGGGUACGGGCAGACUAGAGUGUGGUAGGGGAGACUGGAAUUCCUGGUGUAGCGGUGGAAUGCGCAGAUAUCAGGAGGAACACCGGUGGCGAAGGCGGUUCUCUGGGCCUGUACUGACGC
rnacentral:rRNA from 1 species